CCAGACUCCUACGGGAGGCAGCAGUGGGGGAUAUUGCACAAUGGGGGCAACCCUGAUGCAGCGACGCCGCGUGAGCGAUGGAGUACUUCGGUAUGUAAAGCUCUGUCAGCAGGGAAGAGAAUGACAGUACCUGACCAAGAAGCCCCGGCUAACUACGUGCCAGCAGCCGCGGUAAUACGUAGGGGGCGAGCGUUAUCCGGAUUCACUGGGCGUAAAGGGAGCGCAGGCGGCACGGCAAGUCCGGUGUGAAAGCCCGGGGCCCAACCCCGGGACUGCACUGGAAACUGCCGGGCUGGAAUGUCGGAGGGGCAGGCGGAAUUCCUAGUGUAGCGGUGAAAUGCGUAGAUAUUAGGAGGAACACCGGUGGCGAAGGCGGCCUGCUGGACGACGACUGACGCUGAGGCUCGAAAGCGUGGGGAGCAAACAGGAUUAGAUACCCGGGUA
rnacentral:rRNA from 1 species